AAACUAACUAGGAUGCCUUCAGUAACGGCGAGCGAAGCAGGCAUAGCUCAAAUUUGUAAUCUGGCGCCUUUGGCGUCCGAGUUGUAUUUUCUAGAAGCGAGUUCGGCGACAGCUCCUACCCAAGUCCGUUGGAACGCGGCAUCAUGGAGGGUGAGAAUCCCGUGAAUGGUAGGAUGUCUGCUGCUAUGUGAACCGCCUUCGAAGAGUCGAGUUGUUUGGGAAUGCAGCUCUAAAUGGGAGGUAAAUUUCUUCUAAAGCUAAAUAUUGGCCAGAGACCGAUAGCGAACAAGUAGAGUGAUCGAAAGAUGAAAAGAACUUUGAAAAGAGAGUUAAACAGUACGUGAAAUUGUUGAAAGGGAAGCGCUUGAGAUCAGACUUCCUGUCUGGACUGUCCUUGCUUUUGCUUGGGUCAACAGUCCAGGCGUGGAGGCCAGCAUCAGUUUUGACGGCCGGAUAAAGGCCUUGGGAAGGUAGCUCCUCUCGGGGAGUGUUAUAGCCCAGGGUGUAAUACGGCCAGUUGGGACUGAGGACCGCGGCUUUGCCUAGGAUGCUGGCGUAAUGGUCUUAAGCGAC
rnacentral:rRNA from 1 species